GAAAAAGCCGUCAUGCUUGCAUGUAAGGCUCUUUCGUCAUUUGACGCUGCAACAGUAAUGAGGAAAACAGCACUGCGACAGCGGUGCGAUUUCCGAAUGAAUGUCAGGGCUUGCGGGAGUGCGUAGCACGGAGCAAG
rnacentral:sRNA from 1 species